AGAGAUUGGAUAGAGAGAGAGGCCCUUGCAACGGCCCUUAUGUGCCCCUACAGCCCUGUUAGGAACAGGAGGAAGACCUCAUCCUAACAUGAGCUGAAAUUGAUUGAUGAUUGUGUUGGGAACAGGAGGAGAACCUCGUCCUGACACAAAUGAAGAUCUGAUCGUUUGAGACUGGAUGAGGAGAAGAGCCCCCUCAGCGACUCUUCUACACCCCUACAAUCCCGUC
rnacentral:lncRNA from 1 species